UCUCUCUUCCCCAAAAAUCAGAUGGUCACUCUCUUACACAAAUAUUAGGUCGACGACUUCUUCCACACCUCACCCUCUAGAUUUUGACCACCUGCUGCUUCUCCUGUCGGAGUUUCGCGAAACUGGUCGCCUACAACAUCGAUGGCUGCAACCACUCGCAACGAUUCGACGGCUUCUUCCCCACCCCACCCCACCCCACCCCACCCCACCCCACCCUCUAGAUUUUAGCCACCUAUUUCUUCUCUCGCUGGAGUUUCGUGAGAUCGAUCGCCUAUUGUAUCGAUGGCUGCAACUGCUCGCAACAGUUGCAGUCACUGCAGAUUUCAGCAAGUGCACGUCGAGUGGUGGAUCGCUGAGGUGUUGUAGCACAGCUUAUGGAUCUGAAAUUUUCUCCAAUGUUGCAUAUCAUAGCAGCGAUCCACCAUUUGUGGAGGUUCUUGAGUGGUUUUUGUGAUGAUUUUGCAACAUAUUUUAUUAUGGUUUUUGAGGUAUUGGCCGUGGUAGUGUACUAUGGUGGCGAUAAUCGGUUUAUGGAUUUUUUGGUGGGAUAUCGGUGGGGAUAGUAUGGUAGAUGGAGAUAGAGAAGAUGGUGGUACUAUGCUAUGGGUGUGUUGUGCAGUGGUGGUGCUACAGUUUUGCAAGUGUUGUGGUGGUGGUAAUUGUGGAGAUAGCAAUAUAGAUGCAAUGGUGCUCAUGGUGGUGGCGGAGGUAUGAUAAAUUUUUAAUUCGUGGUAGUUUAGGCUGUGAUGGUUUUGUGGUUAGCUAUGAUAGUUCUGUGAUCGGUUGUGACUUGAAAUUGACUUGGUCACAAACAAUCACACUGAAUUCAACUUUUGUCACAGUUAGUCACACCGAAGAUAAAGUUGAUCACGGUUAAUCGCAGGUUUGCGGUGUGUGCAGAUUUGUUUGUGGUGAUCAUGUGCGAUCAAAUAUGUGUUUGUUGUGACUGUUUGCGACCAAUUUUGUGUUGAUUGUGAUCGAUUGUAACUUGAGAUUGACCUGGUCAUAAACAGUCACACUGAAAAUAAA
rnacentral:lncRNA from 1 species